rnacentral:rRNA from 1 species
UAGCUAGUUGGUGAGGUAAAGGCUUACCAAGGCGACGAUCUGUAGCGGGUCUGAGAGGAUGAUCCGCCACACUGGAACUGAGACACGGUCCAGACUCCUACGGGAGGCAGCAGUGGGGAAUUUUGGACAAUGGGGGCAACCCUGAUCCAGCCAUGCCGCGUGAGUGAAGAAGGCCUUCGGGUUGUAAAGCUCUUUCGGCCGGGAAGAAAUCGCAUGGGCCAAUACCCUGUGUGGAUGACGGUACCGGAAUAAGAAGCACCGGCUAACUACGUGCCAGCAGCCGCGGUAAUACGUAGGGUGCGAGCGUUAAUCGGAAUUACUGGGCGUAAAGCGUGCGCAGGCGGUUUUGUAAGACAGGCGUGAAAUCCCCGGGCUUAACCUGGGAACUGCGUUUGUGACUGCAAGGCUAGAGUACGGCAGAGGGGGGUGGAAUUCCACGUGUAGCAGUGAAAUGCGUAGAGAUGUGGAGGAACACCAAUGGCGAAGGCAGCCCCCUGGGUCGAUACUGACGCUCAUGCACGAAAGCGUGGGUAGCAAACAGGAUUAGAUACCCUGGUAGUCCACGCCCUAAACUAUGUCAACUAGGUGUUGGGUGGGUAAAACCAUUUAGUACCGUAGCUAACGCGUGAAGUUGACCGCCUGGGGAGUACGGCCGCAAGGUUAAAACUCAAAGGAAUUGACGGGGACCCGCACAAGCGGUGGAUGAUGUGGAUUAAUUCGAUGCAACGCGAAAAACCUUACCUACCCUUGACAUGCCAGGAACUUGCCAGAGAUGGCUUGGUGCCCGAAAGGGAGCCUGGACACAGGUGCUGCAUGGCUGUCGUCAGCUCGUGUCGUGAGAUGUUGGGUUAAGUCCCGCAACGAGCGCAACCCUUGUCGUUAAUUGCCAUCAUUUAGUUGGGCACUUUAACGAGACUGCCGGUGACAAACCGGAGGAAGGUGGGGAUGACGUCAAGUCCUCAUGGCCCUUAUGGGUAGGGCUUCACACGUCAUACAAUGGUCGGUACAAAGGGUUGCCAAGCCGCGAGGCGGAGCCAAUCCCAGAAAGCCGAUCGUAGUCCGGAUUGCAGGCUGCAACUCGCCUGCAUGAAGUCGGAAUCGCUAGUAAUCGUGGAUCAGCAUGUCACGGUGAAUACGUUCCCGGGUCUUGUACACACCGCCCGUCACACCAUGGGAGCGGGUUCCGCCAGAAGUAGGUAGCCUAACCGCAAGGGGGGCGCUUACCACGGCGGGGUUCGUGACUGGGGUGAAGUCGUAACAAGGUAGCCGUAGGGGAACCUGCGGCAG